UACGUAGGGUGCGAGCGUUGUCCGGCAUUAUUGGGCGUAAAGAGCUCGUAGGCGGUCUGUCGCGUCGGUCGUGAAAACUUGGGGCUUAACCCUGAGCUUGCGGUCGAUACGGGCAUGACUGGAGUUCGGCAGGGGAGACUGGAAUUCCUGGUGUAGCGGUGAAAUGCGCAGAUAUCAGGAGGAACACCGGUGGCGAAGGCGGGUCUCUGGGCAUUAACUGACGCUGAGGAGCGAAAGCAUGGGGAGCAAACAGG
rnacentral:rRNA from 1 species